GGCGGGGAGGCCCUGACCCAGGGGGCUCCUCAGAGAGUCCGGGAAGGGCGUUGGGCCCAAAGUUCCUGGGCCGGCGCCGACUUCUGGUGCUCUCCUUGCUCCAGGCACCCGUAGGCCCCCGAAGCCGGAGGUCCCGGACAACGGGCCGGAUACGCGGAGGGGAGACUUGGACUGUAAGUGGGACCACACCCCCGGGGGCCUGGGGCCAGCGUGGGCCUCAGAUGCCCCCCCGGGUGGCCAUUACCCCAGGUUUAGAACAACGGCCCUCCCCCCAAAUCCCCGCCACUCAGGCCCCCGAACUCGUCUGUACACAGCUCGCUGGCAGAGACGCGUGGGCGGGCCAAGGCCUGUGUUUGUCUACAAAUAUUUAUCUCCCUCACUCCCACUCCAACAUACCCUGAGUCCAAGGCACUAACGUAGAAGACGAAAUAAUGUUUGCCUUAAAGGCUAAAGGAAGUUCACAUCACCUCUGGCACUUCCUUCACAGAAUAACCUGCACCCGAUUGAUUCCUUACACCGCAUAAUUACGGUGCUAACCCUAAAAAAGGGUUUCUUUGUUCAGUGAAGGUUUAUUGAGAGCCUAACUGUGCCGGCGUGAGGCUCGGCGCCAGAGGAUGAAGGCCUUUAACAUGGAUAUGAGCGGAAAAGGAAUUUAUACUAUUCGUUAUUGGACACAGGAAAACGCCAGACCUCUGGCCUAUCAUGAGACACAUUUGAGGACAAGUAAUAAAAAAAAAAUCUUUCUGGUCCCAGAAAGAUAAAGGAAAUGAAAACAAAAUUCAACCCACAAACCUGCUGUUUGCAUGUAGCCGACCGAGGACCACGGUGACGAUGCUGCCUCCUGGUGGCGGAACGGGGCAACGCAGUUGUCACAGUCAAGUGGAGUUUCACAGGGUGGGAGUGGUGGUGGCAGUGACGGCGUGGAUUCUGAACCGAAAUUGGCUCUGGCUGCCCAGGUGUUCAAUAGUGGAGUUUCGUUCUCUUAAUAUUAGAUUGAAAUUUAUUAUGACCACAGUUCCAUAGCUCUAAAGCGAAAGUCUUCAAGAACAUGGCAUCAGAGUUUCCCUGGGGUGUUUUGGUUUGUCGCCACCGAGAAAGGGAUGUCCUGAAGAAAACAAAGUCUUCAGCUUCUUUUCAUAGCUAAUACAUUCUCUGCAGGUGGAACUGUAAACACCAAUAGAAGAAUUAAAAAUAUAGGUGUUAGAAAAAGAUGCUUGGCAACUUAAGCAUUUAUGAAAAUGGUAACUCAUUGGUCAAGACUGAUGCCAAAGGAUAGAAGCAUUGAUGAAUUUCAUAAAACAACACAGCAUCAUUUUGACCCAAAAUACAAGGAAAAAUAGCACCUGGAUGUGGGAAAGAGAAAGAACUUCACAAAAGAGGCCAGUGAAGCUGAAGGCGUUUUCACAGGGGCUGCUAAAUAGGAAUGACAUAAUGCUGAAACUGCCUGCAACGAUGUCCCUGCUUGGUAAAGUCCAAGCUCAGUAAGUGUGAUGUUAAAGAGAAAAAUUAUACAUAAUACUUGUUAAGAAACUUAACAGAAACCCAUGGGGGAGGGGAAGGGAAAAAAAAGAGGUUAGAGUGGGAGAGAGCCAAAGCAUAAGAGACUCUUAAAAACUGAGAACAAACUGAGGGUUGAUGGGGGGUGGGAGGGUGGGGAGGGUGGGUGAUGGGUAUUGAGGAGGGCAUCUUUUGGGAUGAGCACUGGGUGUUGUAUGGAAACCAAUUUGACAAUAAAUUUCAUGUAUUAUAAAAAAAUAAUACUUGAUAAAGAAUGGUAAGGCAGACUUUACUUAGGGGGGACUAUCACAAUAUACAUAGGGACCACUAUAAUGGGGUUUUGCAGUAGAGAUACUGGGCUCAACUCCAAAUAUAACAAGGAAAAUUGGGAAUUUAUAGCCAAGGAGUAGGGUAGGGGAGGGAAAAUUAAGCGGAAACAUCAAGGGUAAGGGAGGAGUCUAGAAAAACAACCUAACAGGAUUCUUGCUGAAGGCAGGCCAGCAAGAUCAGACCUCACAGGGGGGAUGGUGGAAGAUGAGGAGCCCUAUCAGAUAUCGAGGGGAAUGAGAUAUGAAGGAUGGGAGAUCCUGAGAAACUGACUCAGUAGGGCUCUUGCCACAAUUCGACAAUGCAGGGAUGAACACAGAAGCCCAAAAGUUAGGGCUUGGUUGAGAAGAGAGUUCGGAGGAACCUGACUAAACUUUGGUUAAAGAGAUACUCUGCCAGUGAAAGGCAUCACAGAGAGAAAAUCAGAUCCAAGGUUGCAGAGAAAUGAAAAUUUUUGAAUAUGUGAACUCAACUCCAGCACUGGAUUUCCCAGUUUCCUGUUAUAUGAGCCAAUACAUUUCUUUUCUUCCUUCAAAUUUAUUUGAAUUAGGUGUCUGUCAUUUGUGAAUGGAAGACAGCUCAUUAAUCCAAACAGAGAAUUGAUUUGAUGAAUAAGUUUGAGGUCAUGGGUAGAAGAUUAAAAGGAGUGAGUCAAUGGCAGAAUUAGAAAGUCUAAAUUUCCAGGGCACCUGGGUGGCUCAGUUGGUUAAGCAUCCGACUCUUGAUUUUCGCUUAUGUAAUGAUCUCACACUUUGUGAGGUCAAGCCCUGUGUGGGGCUCUGAGCUGGCAGCACAGAGCCUUCUUGGGAUUCUCUCCCCCUCCCUCUCUCUCU